AUUAAGUUGCUGCAGUUAAACUCNUCGUAGCUCGGAUUUCGGGGCGGCUUCUUUGCCGUCUGCCGAUGGGUAUGCACUGACGCGGGCGUCCUUCCUUCCGGAGACGCGUCCUACUCUUAGCUGAGCGGGGCGUGGAGACGGAUCGUUUACUUUGAAAAAAUCAGAGUGUUUCAAGCAGGCAUCAUCGCUCUUGCAUGGAUUAGCAUGGGAUAAUGAAAUAGGACCUUGGUGCUAUUUUGUUGGUUUCGAGCACCGAAGUAAUGAUUAACAGGGACAGUCAGGGGCACUCGUAUUCCGCCGAGAGAGGUGAAAUUCUCAGACCAGCGGAAGACGAACCACUGCGAAAGCAUUUGCCAGGGAUGUUUUCACUGAUCAAGAACGAAAGUUAGGGGAUCGAAGACGAUCAGAUACCGUCGUAGUCUUAACCAUAAACCAUGCCGACUAGGGAUUGGAGGAUGUCCACUUUUGACUUCUUCAGCACCUUACGGGAAACUAAAGUCUUUGGGUUCCGGGGGGAGUAUGGUCGCAAGGCUGAAACUUAAAGGAAUUGACGGAAGGGCACCACCAGGAGUGGGAGCCUGCGGCUUAAUUUGACUCAACACGGGGAAACUUACCAGGUCCAGACAUUGUGAGGAUUGACAGAUUGAGAGCUCUUUCUUGAUUCCAUGGGUGGUGGGGCAUGGCCGUUCUUAAUUGGGGGAGUGAUUUGUCUGG
rnacentral:rRNA from 1 species